GCGGGUAUAGCUCAGUUGGUAGAGCGUCUGCCUUCCAAGCAGUUCGUCGUCGGUUCGAGUCCGUCUAUCCGCUCCA
rnacentral:tRNA from 10 species